AAUAGUUAUCCUUAUAAAAAACUCGGACAAGUCUUAUAUUAAUGUUAAGAUUCUAAAUCAAAUAUUGAACUCUUCCCAUAUAUAUUCAGCUGGUAUCAGAGAAACUAUGAGACGGGUUCUGGUCAAUAUGAAAUUCGAAAAUUGGGCAAAACAGGUUAUUGACCAGGCAAAAAAGUUUACUGAACGUGAAAACGAGAAACGUGUAGAUUUUUACAAGUUCUUAAGUCAAAAUUUUCUGGUCGCUUUUUUUGAAUUUUUGGAUCAAGAAAUUACGUUAAAUUUUAC